rnacentral:rRNA from 1 species
UGGUUCGAUCAUGGCUCAGGAUGAACGCUGGCGGCAUGCCUAAUACAUGCAAGUCGAACGGAGUGAAGCCUUCGGGUUUCAUUCAGUGGCGAACGGGUGAGUAAUACGCAGGGAACCUGGCCAUGGCAGGGGGAUACACUCUGGAAACGGAGCAUAAGACCCCAUAGGCAGUAAGGCGGCAUCGCCUUACUGUUAAAGAAAGCUGAAAGGCUUUGGCGAUGGAUGGACCUGCGGUGCAUUAGCUUGUUGGUGAGGCAACGGCUUACCAAGGCGAUGAUGCAUAGCCGGCCUGAGAGGGCGGACGGCCACACUGGGACUGAGACACGGCCCAGACUCCUGCGGGAGGCAGCAGUAGGGAAUUUUCGUCAAUGGGCGCAAGCCUGAACGAGCAAUGCCGCGUGAGUGAGGAAGGUCUUCGGACUGUAAAGCUCUGUUGCCGGGGAAAAAGGGGAAAUGCAGGAAAUGGCAUUUCAUGGAUGGUACCCGGCCAGAAAGCCACGGCUAACUACGUGCCAGCAGCCGCGGUAAUACGUAGGUGGCGAGCGUUAUCCGGAAUGAUUGGGCGUAAAGGGUGCGCAGGCGGUCUGUUAAGUCUGAAGGCAAAGGGAUGAGCUCAACUCAUUUAUGAUUCAGAAACUGGCAGACUUGAGGACAGGAGAGGGCGGUGGAACUCCAUGUGUAGCGGUAAAAUGCGCAGAGAUAUGGAAGAACACCAGUGGCGAAGGCGGCCGCCUGGCCUGUGACUGACGCUGAGGCACGAAAGCGUGGGGAGCAAAUAGGAUUAGAUACCCUAGUAGUCCACGCCGUAAACGAUGAGGAGCAGGUGUUGGGAGUGAAAUCUCAGUGCCGAAGCCAACGCAGUGACUCCUCCGCCUGGGGAGUAUGCACGCAAGUGUGAAACUCAAAGGAAUUGACGGGGGCCCGCACAAGCGGUGGAGUAUGUGGUUUAAUUCGAAGCAACGCGAAGAACCUUACCAGGUUUUGACAUCGGAUGCGAAGGUGCAGAGAUGCGCUGGAGGCUAUCAUCCAGACAGGUGGUGCAUGGUUGUCGUCAGCUCGUGUCGUGAGAUGUUCAGUUAAGUCUGGCAACGAGCGCAACCCCCGUGGUAUGUUACUAACGCUUAGGGCGAGGACUCAUAUCAGACUGCCGGUGACAAACCGGAGGAAGGCGGGGAUGACGUCAAAUCAUCAUGCCCCUUAUGACCUGGGCUACACACGUACUACAAUGGCGUCUACAGAGGGAAGCGACCCUGAGAAGGGAAGCGAAACCGGAAAAGGGCGUCCCAGUUCGGAUUGAAGUCUGCAACCCGACUUCAUGAAGAUGGAAUCGCUAGUAAUCGCGGAUCAGCAUGCCGCGGUGAAUACGUUCCCGGGCCUUGUACACACCGCCCGUCAAACCAUGGAAGCCGGCAACGCCCGAAGCCGGUGGCAUAACCUUUUAGGAGUGAGCCGUCGAAGGCGGGGCCGAUGACUGGGGUUAAGUCGUAACAAGGUACCC